GCCGAAUACAACAGGUGUAGACCUUACAGUGAAAUGCGUACUUACAAGCCCUUAACCAACAAUGCAGUUUUAAGAAAAAUAAGUGUUAAGUAAAAAUUAGAUAAGUACAAAAAUUAUAAUAACUAAAAUGAAUUAAAGAGUAGCAGUAAAAUAGCAGUAGCAAGGCUAUACACAGGGGGUACCGGUACAGAGUCAAUGUGGAGGCUAUAUACAGGGGGUACCGGUACAGAGUCAAUGUGGAGGGGCACCGGUUUGUCGAGGUAAUUGAGGUAAUAUGUACAUGUAGGUAGAGUUAAAGUGACUAUGCAUAGAUCAUAAACAAAGAGUAGUAGCAGUGUAAAAGGGGGGGGGGGCAAUGCAAAUAGUCCGGGUAGCCAUUUGAUUAGCUGUUCAGGAGUCUUAUGGCUUGUGGGUAGAAGCUGUUAAGAAGCUUUUUGGACCUAGACUUGGCGCUCCGGUACCGCUUGCUGUGUGGUAGCAGAGAGAACAGUCUAUGACUGGGGUGGCUGGAGUCCUUGACCAUUUUUAGGGCCUUCCUCUGACACCGCCUGGUAUAGAUGUCCUGAAUGGCAGGGAGCUCGGCCCCAGUGAUGUACUGGGCCGUACACACGACCCUCUGUAGUGCCUUGCGGUCGGAGGCCGAGCAGUUGCCAUACCAGGCAGUGAUGCAACCAGUCAGGAUGCUCUCGAUGGUGCAGCUGUAUAACUUUUUGAGGAUCUGAGGACCCAGGCCAAAUCUUUUCAGUAUCCUGAGGGGGAAUAGUUGUUGUCUUGCCCUCUUCACGUGUUAUGACUAACUGGGGACACCAGGUGUGUUAUGACUAACUGGGGACACCAGGCGUGUUAUGACUAACUGGGGACACCAGGUGUGUUAUGACUAACUGGGGACACCAGGUGUGUUAUGACUAACUGGGGACACCAGGCGUGUUAUGACUAACUGGGGACACCAGGUGUGUUAUGACUAACUGGGGACACCAGGCGUGUUAUGACUAACUGGGGACACCAGGUGUGUUAUGACUAACUGGGGACACC
rnacentral:lncRNA from 1 species